AUAGCUAGAAUUUAAAAAAAAUAUUUCAAUUCUACUGAAAACCUGAAUAUACUGUUUUGAUAUGAAUCUCAAAUUUUAAGUGAAACCGUGUGUCCCUUUCGGAAAUACUCUUCAAUGUGCAUAUCUGUAUACCUGUCAUCAAUAAAAUCAAGAAUAGCUGGCUAAUUGACACGAGAACUUCAAGGAAUGAAGAAGAUAACAUAGCAUGUUUCCGUUUGCUUUAACUUGUACUUUCUUCGACUAUGUAUUUCAGUCGGCAACUUCGGCGCACUGAAAUUUACAGUCAAUCGAUAAUACAGGAAGGUAACUCACGGCAGUAAUGAUUUUGUACAUUUUUUAAAUUAUGUUCUUCUUUUAAAAGUUAUUGUUUAAGGUGAAAUCGCUCGCACGAGAUAUGUACAUUCAAAUGUUUUAAUUGAAUUUCACGAGGAAUUAAAAAAGUUUUACAAUUCUA